UCCCCACGCCCCUUGGAUGAUAAAACCGUGGCCCACCGGAUCAUCCUGGGGCAAAGCUUCCUCUCCUGCCGGCCAGCUUUUCUCAGAAAUGUCCCAUCCUAACCUGUUCCUUGCCUAUCACUUUGUUUCUGGCUGCAUUCCUUUUGCACAGAGGCAUAAAGAACUUGAGCCUUGGUGAGUCCAGACACAGGCAGCACCACGAAGAAGCUACUACCCGUGUCUUUAUUUUGCAGAUGAGGAAACUGAGCCCAGCCAAGCAAACAGGACAGACAGGCCUACGUUUUAGAAUUGUGAAAUGUUAACGCUGGCCAAAUCCCUGGAUCUGGAAACUAAGCUGUGGAGUCUCUAACCUGGCUGGGACUGGGCUCCUGCCAUCUGCGACCCCUCACUGCC